UGUUGUCAUGGUGACGAUGGUAUACCAGAAGGCUGCAGGGAUGCUGGUGAACUUGCUAGCCGAAGACCCCUUCUCUGCGUAGAACAUAACUGUAGCGAAGAUGAUGAUAGCCAUGGUGAGCGAGAAAAGCAAGAAGCCCAAUUCUGAGGCACAACUCUUCAGUGUGUACCCCAGGAUGCGCACCCAAUGUAAUAAGGCAGGAUGGCCACCACGUCGAUGAUACUCAUGACACUACGCACAAAACGGUAACGACUAGGCGCUGCAGCCAGGCGAAGCAAAUACUCAACUGUGAAGAUCAUGACGCAGGCCGUGUCCAAGCAGAAGAAGGCCACAGCAUACCGCUCUCCACAGGGCAGUUCUUUAAUGUGACCUGGGCUUGAUCCGCACGGCACUGUUUCCACCACAUUCGCGAUGACAGAGACGGCAAUGAAAAACCCCGUGACAUAGUAGAACACCAGGGCCAUCGUGCUGGUGUGGGGGUUCUCGAAGGCCCUCCAGACCCUCUGCGUCGUCCUGCAGGCGCUCGGCGUUCUCUCGCCUGCGAUCCUUGUACUCCUCAUAACAGCAGUCGCCGAUGAUUUCCGGGAUGAGGCCAAAGAAGGCCAGUUCUUCAUCGUAAGCAGAGAUGCACUCGUGGCGAGGAUAGUGGAGCUUCCCAGUGCGGUAGAAAUUCAGGAUGUGGCGGAAGAUGUCUGGGUCACGGUCAAAGAAAUACUGCUGAGUUUCUGGGUGGUAGAAAAAGUCCCUCUCAGAACUGCCCAGUAGAGUGUCUGGGUAACGUUCCAGGGUGUCCUGCCACGUCUGGAAGCGGGUGCCACUCACAUUCAGCACAAUGAGAGCAUCUUGGGUCCUUUUCCUCUCCUGC
rnacentral:lncRNA from 1 species